rnacentral:lncRNA from 1 species
AGCCGUCGUCUGAGGUCCUCCAGCAGCGGGCUGGCGGCGAGGGCCUCCUCCUGGAUGUCCGUGCUCCUGCCGUCCCCGAAGAAGUCGCACGCGGGACGAGGUGGGAACCAAAGCUCCGCUCUACCUGGGAGUCCCUGGAGCCCCUGGGAAAUUCUCUCUCUGCAGCGGCGGAAGUCCCCGGGGCCCAUCGCGGAGACGCCUGGUCACUGCUCUACCGCUGCUGCUGAAAGAUGAGUUUCUAAGUUUGAUGUUUAGGGCGGGGUCAGGGCGGGGGCGGAGGUAAUUCAAGGACCCUUGCCAAGUGGGAUGCUGCAACUGCCCCGCCAUUCAGAGACGCUCCUUUGCUCCCAGUCCCAUCUUAGUCCUCCAUUAGCGACAGAGGAAGGAGGCGGUUCCCAUAACUCCAGGAGAAGUUUAAGCUGAGUCGCUUUUUUCUGCUGCUUGCAUUGAAAGGAAGUCUUUCUAAGGAGAAGGCUUGGUAACUGAGCAGUCAGCCUAUGUAAGUGGAAGUUGAGGUACAGGUGGAAGGUUUAUGACCAAAGGUUAGAAUAUUUCAACCCAAAGCCUUCCUGGUUGCCUUGAUCGUCUAAUACGUCAUUCCUUAAAAACAAUUUUUUUUCUUCCUACUCUGCCAGGCACUUUGCCAAGUUUGGGGAAUGCAAAGGCUUAAUUAGACCCCUCACCUUUC